AUCGCUUCUCGGCCUUUUGGCUAAGAUCAAGUGUAGAAAAUAAAAGUCUUGUCCAAAUGAAAAUGAACAAGAACACAAUUUUUGACAAAAGAAAUGCAAU